rnacentral:rRNA from 1 species
UACGUAGGCAGCAAGCGUUGUUCGGAAUUACUGGGCGUAAAGAGUGUGUAGGCGGUGUUCUAAGUCUGUUGUGAAAUCUCCCGGCUUAACUGGGAGGGUGCGGCGGAAACUGGAAUGCUAGAGGAUGGGAGAGGUAAGCGGAAUUCCUGGUGUAGCGGUGAAAUGCGUAGAUAUCAGGAGGAACACCGGUGGCGAAAGCGGCUCCCUGGCCCGAUACUGACGCUCAUGUACGAAAGCGUGGGGAGCAAACAGG